GGGCAAGAUAGGUGAAGUUAGCUAACCGGUAAACCGGUCAUCUCCCUUCACAAAGCCUUAUUCGCACCCGGGGUGCUCAACGGGGAAACCCGAAAAUUCC
rfam:Legionella geestiana strain ATCC 49504 Lgee_ctg010, whole genome shotgun sequence.